GAGCAGUAGCUCAGUUGGAUAGAGCAACGGCCUUCUAAGCCGUGGGUCGGGGGUUCGAAUCCCUCCUGCUUC
rnacentral:tRNA from 1 species